AUAAAAAAUCAAUGCUCUUCGGAGCUCUUUGAUGAUUCAUAAUAACUUUUCGAAUCGCAUGGCCUUGUGCUGGCGAUGGUUCAUUCAAAUUUCUGCCCUAUCAACUUUCGAUGGUAGGAUAGUGGCCUACCAUGGUUUCAACGGGUAACGGGGAAUAAGGGUUCGAUUCCGGAGAGGGAGCCUGAGAAACGGCUACCACAUCCAAGGAAGGCAGCAGGCGCGCAAAUUACCCAAUCCCGAUACGGGGAGGUAGUGACAAUAAAUAACGAUGCAGGGCCCUUUCGGGUCUUGUAAUUGGAAUGAGUACAAUGUAAAUACCUUAACGAGGAACAAUUGGAGGGCAAGUCUGGUGCCAGCAGCCGCGGUAAUUCCAGCCCCAAAAGCGUAUAUUAAAGUUGUUGCAGUUAAAAAGCUCGUAGUUGAACCUUGGGCUUGGUUGGCCGGUCCACCCUUUUGGGUGAGUACUGGACCCAACCGAGCCUUUCCUUCUGGCUAACCUCUCUUUCGGGGGA
rnacentral:rRNA from 1 species